rnacentral:rRNA from 1 species
UGGGGAAUAUUACACAAUGGGCGCAAGCCUGAUGCAGCCAUGCCGCGUGUGUGAAGAAGGCCUUCGGUUGUAAGCACUUUCAGCGGGAGGAAGGCGGUGAGGUUAAUAACCUCACCGAUUGACGUUACCCGCAGAAGAAGCACCGGCUAACUCCGUGCCAGCAGCCGCGGUAAUACGGAGGGUGCAAGCGUUAAUCGGAAUUACUGGGCGUAAAGCGCACGCAGGCGGUCUGUCAAGUCGGAUGUGAAAUCCCCGGGCUCAACCUGGGAACUGCAUUCGAAACUGGCAGGCUAGAGUCUUGUAGA